UGCCAGACUCCUACGGGAGGCAGCAGUGGGGAAUAUUGCACAAUGGGGGAAACCCUGAUGCAGCGACGCCGCGUGAGUGAAGAAGUAUUUCGGUAUGUAAAGCUCUAUCAGCAGGGAAGAAGUUGACGGUACCUGAGUAAGAAGCCCCGGCUAACUACGUGCCAGCAGCCGCGGUAAUACGUAGGGGGCAAGCGUUAUCCGGAUUUACUGGGUGUAAAGGGAGCGUAGACGGCAGUGCAAGUCUGAAGUGAAAGCCCCGGGCUUAACCCGGGAACUGCUUUGGAAACUGUACGGCUGGAGUGCUGGAGAGGUAAGCGGAAUUCCUAGUGUAGCGGUGAAAUGCGUAGAUAUUAGGAGGAACACCAGUGGCGAAGGCGGCUUACUGGACAGUAACUGACGUUGAGGCUCGAAAGCGUGGGGAGCAAACAGGAUUAGAUACCCUAGUAUAA
rnacentral:rRNA from 1 species